AGAGUUUGAUCAUGGCUCAGGAUGAACGCUGGCGGCGUGCCUAACACAUGCAAGUCGAACGGAACUUUUACGGAACAAGGCUUCGGCCGAGGGAAGUUUAAGUUUAGUGGCGGACGGGUGAGUAACGCGUGAGUAACCUGCCUUUCAGAGGGGGAUAACGUUUGGAAACGAACGCUAAUACCGCAUAACGUAUUGAUGUCGCAUGGCAUUGAUACCAAAGAUUUUAUCGCUGAGAGAUGGACUCGCGUCUGAUUAGAUAGUUGGCGGGGUAACGGCCCACCAAGUCGACGAUCAGUAGCCGGACUGAGAGGUUGAACGGCCACAUUGGGACUGAGACACGGCCCAGACUCCUACGGGAGGCAGCAGUGGGGAAUAUUGCACAAUGGGCGCAAGCCUGAUGCAGCAACGCCGCGUGAGGGAUGACGGUUUUCGGAUUGUAAACCUCUGUCUUUGGUGACGAAGAAGUGACGGUAGCCAAGGAGGAAGCCACGGCUAACUACGUGCCAGCAGCCGCGGUAAUACGUAGGUGGCAAGCGUUAUCCGGAAUUACUGGGUGUAAAGGGAGCGCAGGCGGGAUAGCAAGUCAGCGGUGAAAUGCAUGGGCUCAACCCAUGAACUGCCGUUGAAACUGUUAUUCUUGAGUGGAGUAGAGGCAGGCGGAAUUCCGAGUGUAGCGGUGAAAUGCGUAGAUAUUCGGAGGAACACCAGUGGCGAAGGCGGCCUGCUGGGCUCUAACUGACGCUGAGGCUCGAAAGUGUGGGGAGCAAACAGGAUUAGAUACCCUGGUAGUCCACACCGUAAACGAUGAUUGCUAGGUGUGGGGGGUCUGACCCCCUCCGUGCCGGAGUUAACACAAUAAGCAAUCCACCUGGGGAGUACGGCCGCAAGGUUGAAACUCAAAGGAAUUGACGGGGGCCCGCACAAGCAGUGGAUUAUGUGGUUUAAUUCGAAGCAACGCGAAGAACCUUACCAGGUCUUGACAUCCAACGAAUUCUGUAGAGAUACGGAAGUGCCUUUCGGGGAACGUUGAGACAGGUGGUGCAUGGUUGUCGUCAGCUCGUGUCGUGAGAUGUUGGGUUAAGUGCCAUAACGAGCGCAACCCCUUUCGCCAGUUGCCAUCAGGUGAUGCUGGGCACUCUGGCGACACUGCCACCGUAAGGUGUGAGGAAGGUGGGGAUGACGUCAAAUCAGCACGGCCCUUACGUCCGGGGCUACACACGUGUUACAAUGGGGUAUACAGAGAGCAGGGUGUACGCAAGUGCGUCCGAAUCAAGAAAGUGCCCCUCAGUUCGGAUUGGGGUCUGCAACCCGACCCCAUGAAGCUGGAUUCGCUAGUAAUCGCGCAUCAGCCAUGGCGCGGUGAAUACGUUCCCGGGCCUUGUACACACCGCCCGUCAAGCCAUGAAAGCCGGGGGCGCCUGAAGUCCGUGACCGCGAGGGUCGGCCUAGGGUGAAACCGGUGAUUGGGGCUAAGUCGUAACAAGGUAGCC
rnacentral:rRNA from 1 species